UUGAACGCUGGCGGCAGGCCUAACACAUGCAAGUCGAGCGGAUGAAGGGAGCUUGCUCCUGGAUUCAGCGGCGGACGGGUGAGUAAUGCCUAGGAAUCUGCCUGGUAGUGGGGGAUAACGUCCGGAAACGGGCGCUAAUACCGCAUACGUCCUGAGGGAGCAAGUGGGGGAUCUUCGGACCUCACGCUAUCAGAUGAGCCUAGGUCGGAUUAGCUAGUUGGUGGGGUAAAGGCCUACCAAGGCGACGAUCCGUAACUGGUCUGAGAGGAUGAUCAGUCACACUGGAACUGAGACACGGUCCAGACUCCUACGGGAGGCAGCAGUGGGGAAUAUUGGACAAUGGGCGAAAGCCUGAUCCAGCCAUGCCGCGUGUGUGAAGAAGGUCUUCGGAUUGUAAAGCACUUUAAGUUGGGAGGAAGGGCAGUAAGUUAAUACCUUGCUGUUUUGACGGUACCAACAGAAUAAGCACCGGCUAACUUCGUG
rnacentral:rRNA from 1 species